rnacentral:rRNA from 1 species
UAACCUGCUAAAUAUGUCAUAGAUAGAUUUCUAUAAAAAAGUGAAGGGGUCAUUAAGGGAAAGUUUCGAUGGACUCUGACGGGCUCUUUCAUGGAUAACUAUCUAGAUGUACUUCUUAGAGGGACUAUCUGUAUCAAAGCAGAUGGAAGUUUGAGGCAAUAGGUCUGUGAUGCCCUUAGAUGUUCUGGGCCGCACGCGCGCUACACUGAUAAGUUCAACGAGUUUAACACCUUGCUCGAUAGGGCUGGGUAAUCUUUGAAAAACUUAUCGUGAUGGGGAUAGAUCAUUGUAAUUAUUGGUCUUCAACGAGGAAUUCCUAGUAAGC